rnacentral:rRNA from 1 species
UCCUCCAAGGCUAAAUACUCCUGACUGACCGAUAGUGAACCAGUACCGUGAGGGAAAGGCGAAAAGAACCCCGGCGAGGGGAGUGAAAAAGAACCUGAAACCGUGUACGUACAAGCAGUGGGAGCACAGGUUUACCUGUGUGACUGCGUACCUUUUGUAUAAUGGGUCAGCGACUUAUAUUCUGUAGCAAGGUUAACCGUAUAGGGGAGCCGGAGGGAAACCGAGUCUUAAUUGGGCGUUAAGUUGCAGGGUAUAGACCCGAAACCCGGUGAUCUAGCCAUGGGCAGGUUGAAGGUUGGGUAACACUAACUGGAGGACCGAACCGACUAAUGUUGAAAAAUUAGCGGAUGACCUGUGGCUGGGGGUGAAAGGCCAAUCAAACCGGGAGAUAGCUGGUUCUCCCCGAAAGCUAUUUAGGUAGCGCCUCGUGAAUUCAUCUCCGGGGGUAGAGCACUGUUUCGGCUAGGGGGCCAUCCCGGCUUACCAACCCGAUGCAAACUGCGAAUACCGGAGAAUGUUAUCACGGGAGACACACGGCGGGUGCUAACGUCCGUCGUGAAGAGGGAAACAACCCAGACCGCCAGCUAAGGUCCCAAAGUCAUGGUUAAGUGGGAAACGAUGUGGGAAGGCCCAGACAGCCAGGAUGUUGGCUUAGAAGCAGCCAUCAUUUAAAGAAAGCGUAAUAGCUCACUGGUCGAGUCGGCCUGCGCGGAAGAUGUAACGGGGCUAAACCAUGCACCGAAGCUGCGGCAGCGAACGUAUCACCCAAGACAACUUUACGGAGUUGACGAUUGACGGAGCGAAGCGACGUCAAAGCGUUCAUUAAAGUCGAGUUGGCUUAGGGAUACGUUCGUUGGGUAGGGGAGCGUUCUGUAAGCCUGUGAAGGUGUGUCGUGAGGCAUGCUGGAGGUAUCAGAAGUG